rnacentral:rRNA from 1 species
AUUGAACGCUGGCGGCAGGCCUAACACAUGCAAGUCGAGCGAGCGGCGGACGGGUGAGUAAUGUAUGGGGACUGCCCGCUAGAGGGGGAUAACUACUGGAAACGGUAGCUAAUACCGCAUACUAUCGGAUAACCCAUAUGGGUAUGGCUAUUGGGUGAGGUAAUGGCUCACCUGGGCGACGAUCCCUCGCUGCUCUGAGAGGACGACCAGCCACACUGGGACUGAGACACGGCCCAGACUCCUACGGAGGCAGUAGUGGGGAAUUUUGGACAAUGGGGGAAACCCUGAUCCGGCCAUCCCGCGUGUAUGAUGAGGGCCUUCGGGUUGUAAAGUACUUUUUGCAGAGAAGCGGUAUCUACAGAAGAAGCACCGGCUAACUACGUGCCAGCCGCCGCGGUAAUUC